GCAGGCUGCAACUCGCCUGCAUGAAGCUGGAAUUGCUAGUAAUGGCAGGUCAGCAUACUGCCGUGAAUACGUUCCCGGGCCUUGUACACACCGCCCGUCACACCAUGAGAGUUGGGAAUACCCGAAGCCUGUGAGCUAACUUUUAAGAGGCGGCAGUCGAAGGUAGAAUCAAUGAUUGGGGUGAAGUCGUAACAAGGUAAC
rnacentral:rRNA from 1 species